CCUACGGUGAGCAGCAGUGGGGAAUAUUGCACAAUGGGGGAAACCCUGAUGCAGCGACGCCGCGUGAGUGAAGAAGUAUUUCGGUACGUAAAGCUCUAUCAGCAGGGAAGAAAAUGACGGUACCUGACUAAGAAGCCCCGUCUAACUACGUGCCAGAAGCCGCGGUAAUACGUAGGGGGCAAGCGUUAUCCGGAUUUACUGGGUGUAAAGGGAGCGUAGACGGCAGCGCAAGUCUGAAGUGAAAUCCCAUGGCUUAAACAUGGAACUGCUGUGGAAACUGUGGAGCUGGAGUGCAGGGGAGGUAAGCGGAAUUCCUAGUGUAGCGGUGAAAUGCGUAGAUAUUAGGAGGAACACCAGUGGCGAAGGCGGUUUACUGGACUGUAACUGACGUUGAGGCGCGAAAGCGUGGGGAGCAAACAGGAUUAGAUACCCGGGUAGUC
rnacentral:rRNA from 1 species